AAGACUACAGGUUUCUCCAUGGAGCAGCACAGAGGGUGAACAAAGGCAGAAAAGCUGUUCAAUACACAAGAAAAUAACACACACACUGUUUCCACGGUAUCUCACGGCAGACAUAACUUCCUAAGCCCACCCACAUCUGCACAGGAACAAAAUUGGAGCUGAAGAAGCAAAAGAGUAAGCUGCACCCUUCUUAUUUCUGGUCUCUAGAGCUGGGAUUCUUGACUAACGAUGGAAGGGGAAGCAGUGAGAUAUGAAAUGGAUAUGAGAUUAAAGUUUCCAGCAGGACUGAAUUUUAAUAACUGAAAGGACUGGAAAGUGAUGCAGUCUACUCAAGAUAUUAAGAUAUGGAAAAUAGAGAUUUAACAGAGCAUAAUUAAAAGCAGAGUUUGGAGAAAAUUAAA
rnacentral:lncRNA from 10 species